AGAGAGAGACAUGCGCGCAUAUCAAUAAGCGGAGGAAAAGAAACUAACAAGGAUUCCCCUAGUAACGGCGAGUGAAGCGGGAAGAGCUCAAAUUUGAAAUCUUAAAGGGUUCUACCUUGACGAAUUGUAGUUUAAAGAAGUGUUUUCUGUUGGAGUUUUGGUAAAAGUUCUUUGGAAUAGGACAUCAUAGAGGGUGAGAAUCCCGUAUUUGACCAUUAUUUCCAGCUUUGUGAUACACUUUCAAAGAGUCGGAUUGUUUGGGAAUGCAGUCCAAAAUGGGUGGUAAAUUUCAUCUAAAGCUAAAUAUUGGCGAGAGACCGAUAGCGAACAAGUACCGUGAGGGAAAGAUGAAAAGAACUUUGAAAAGAGAGUUGAACAGUACGUGAAAUUGUCAAAAGGGAAGCGUUUGACACCAGUGUUGUUUUCUCGAAAAUCAAUUAAAAAAGAGUUAGGAUUUUGUUGUGUAUUGACCUUUAUCAGCUUUCUGCACUUCAUUUUCUUGUCUUUUUUUAAUGCACUUUUCGUUUAACAAGUCAACAUCAAUUUCUUUUGUUGUAAAAGGGUCAUUGGAAGGUGGCUUUCUUUUCGGAGAAAGUGUUUAUAGCCUUUGGCCUCUGCAAUCGGAGAGAUUGAGGUCUGCAGCGUAGAUCCUUCGGGGUUAGAUACAUUUGUGCUAAGUUAUAGCCUUUCAUAGACAACUUGUUGACUAUGAUCAGUCAUGUAGCUUACUCGCUUAUGCUAUUUUACCUACGCUUAGGAUGUUGAUGUGAUACUGCGAGCA
rnacentral:rRNA from 1 species